GAUGAACGCUGGCGGCGUGCCUAAUACAUGCAAGUCGAGCGAACAGAUGAGGAGCUUGCACCUCUGACGUUAGCGGCGGACGGGUGAGUAACACGUGGAUAACCUACCUAUAAGACUGGGAUAACUUCGGGAAACCGGAGCUAAUACCGGAUAAUAUAUUGAACCGCAUGGUUCAAUAGUGAAAGACGGUUUUGCUGUCACUUAUAGAUGGAUCCGCGCCGCAUUAGCUAGUUGGUAAGGUAACGGCUUACCAAGGCAACGAUGCGUAGCCGACCUGAGAGGGUGAUCGGCCACACUGGAACUGAGACACGGUCCAGACUCCUACGGGAGGCAGCAGUAGGGAAUCUUCCGCAAUGGGCGAAAGCUUGACGGAGCAACGCCGCGUGAGUGAUGAAGGUCUUCGGAUCGUAAAACUCUGUUAUUAGGGAAGAACAAAUGUGUAAGUAACUAUGCACGUCUUGACGGUACCUAAUCAGAAAGCCACGGCUAACUACGUG
rnacentral:rRNA from 1 species